rnacentral:lncRNA from 1 species
AGUAUUCUUCUCAUGAUCUUUAGCAUAGAGAUCUUCAUCCUUCUAUUUUAUUUUUCUUCUCUAAGAGGGUCUUGAGAGAAAUAAAAAAUUUUCAAUUAUCAAGAUACGAUCUCUACAAGAAAACUAAUAUCUCGAUGAAAUCAAGAAGCUUCAGAUUAGAUCGAGAUCUCAUGUGGAUAUCUGUAGAGAUCGGACGCUUGUACGAUUUUAAGAGACUUUCGAAAAAUAUCCAUGAUCAUCAGUUCAUGGUGUAGAUUGACCGGUGCUA